rnacentral:pre_miRNA from 1 species
CGGGGGAGGCCGGAUCCUGGGCUGUGUCCCGACGCCCUGUGCUCCCGGUCUGUGCUGUUGGAUUCGUGCUCCCGCCCCGCAGCCCCCU